GACGAAGGGGCUAGCGUUGUUCGGAAUUACUGGGCGUAAAGCGUGUGUAGGUGGUUGCCAUAGUCAGGUGUGAAAGCCUUGAGCUCAACUCAAGAAAUGCACUUGAUAACUGGGCAGCUAGAGGACCGGGAGAGGAUAGUGGAAUUCCCAGUGUAGUGGUGAAAUACGUAGAGAUUGGGAAGAACACCAGUGGCGAAGGCGGCUAUCUGGACGGUUUCUGACACUAAGACACGGAAAGCGUGGGGAGCAACAGG
rnacentral:rRNA from 1 species